CGAACGGGUGAGUAAUGCGUGACCAACCUGCCCCAUGCUCCAGAAUAGCUCUUGGAAACGGGUGGUAAUGCUGGAUGCUCCAACUUGACGCAUGUCUUGUUGGGAAAGUGUUUAGUGGCAUGGGAUGGGGUCGCGUCCUAUCAGCUUGUAGGCGGGGUAAUGGCCCACCUAGGCUUCGACGGGUAGCCGGCCUGAGAGGGCGGACGGCCACAUUGGGACUGAGAUACGGCCCAGACUCCUAGGGAGGCAGCAGAG
rnacentral:rRNA from 1 species